GGUUAUUACCGUCCGGAAUAAAUACUAGUGAAGUAAAUAUAUUAAUGAACAUUACAGUCUAGUUUUCGACAAAUGAAAUUUCAGGUGUCAGCCGUUCGUGGAUCUAAGACAAGUGUUUAAUCCGGACUGGAAGCAGUUUGAAUCAGAUCACUUCACAGUGAAACACGGGAGACGAAGCUACUGUAAGAUAUUAGAGGCAUUCGCUAAACAGUUCGUUCAUGGACGGAGGUAGCUCCACUGAGUACAGCCAAGCUGACAGGCGGAAAAUUGAACGGCUAAAACAUGUAAGAGUGAACAUCUCGAAUUCUUUUACUUUAUUUGCGUGCCUAU